UGUCUUGUAGUAUAUACCCUAUUACCGUAAACUGCAACUUUGCCAAAGCUUUAGCCAAGACAU
rnacentral:tRNA from 1 species